ACUCUUUACAGAAUGCUAACACAGCUAAUGCUAACAGGAGCUAACGGCUAUAGUGUUAGACUGCGGAGACCUGAUAGCUAAUCGAUAAUCAAUACAACCCCAGAGACAGAACAAAUUUAACUGUCUGUUUUAACAGAAACUCACGAGCUUCUCGUUAACGGUUAACUGUGACGUCAGCUCUCAGUUAGCCUGUUAGCAUGUUGCUAUGAUCUUAGCACAGAGUCAGUGAUGGUUACAACACAUGUAAAUCGGUCUGUCUGUCUUUAUAGGCCUACAUAAUCAAUUCAUAUAAAUUCAUAUAUAUAUAUAUAUAUAUAUAUAUAUAUAUAUAUAUAAUGAUACAUACAUACACAUAGAAAAAUAUAUAAAUUAGUAACUGAACAUGUAACGUUAUGAAUGAAUAGGCCUAUGUGACAUGUUGAGUUCAGUAAAUUUUGCAGUGAAAUGUCAGAUUAAAGGAUUUAUAUCUUCUCUGUGAAUGAUGUUAAUGAUAUUGAUAUUAAUAUUGAUGUUAUUGACAGUAAAUAUGUUAUUAUUAAUGACGUCAUAUCAACAGCAGCUGUGGUGUUUGUAGAGGAAUCUAUCAGCUGAUCAUUUUAAAGGGUUGUAGACUGAAUCACUGUGACAACGCACAAACAACAACAAUGAUCACUUCCAAGUAGAAAAGUGACAGGUGGAGCUACACUUAAUGAAAUAAUCCUCCUGAUGCCUGGUUCACACCACACGACAUUUCUUUGUCAGAUCAGGUAACACACUGCCCGUGACCUGACCGACAGACAUGACACACUACAGGAUGGUCCACGAGCAAUCAUCACUGGUUGUCUUUCACUACUCUGUGGUGUCAUCAGGGUCUACAUCCUUCGGAGGACGCGGCCUACGCAGCCUCUGAAGGCUAUUUUGUCUAUUUAAUUUACUUUUUGUAAGUGGAAGAGGAGAGGCAGCUCCAGCGACACUGGUGGCUCGUUUAUCUCCGGCUGGGAGAGAGCCGUGGGGAGACCAGGCCCCUGUACUGCAGAAUAAACCUGGUUGUUCCGAUGCUGCAAAACGUCUUUAAUCAUGGUGACACAAGGCAAGAUUUCAGGCUGAGCAGAGUCCCUGGAGGUGCUGCCGGACACAUUUUACAUAAUUUUAUAUUUGUUCUCUGUAAAUAGUGAUUUCUACUGAUCUUUUGUAAAUAGUUGUACAUGUUAAGAAUGCCCACUUGUAAACUUGUAAAUAGUUAGAAAUGUUCAGAUUGUAUCUUUGUAAAUACUUGGUUAUCAAAACAAAAAAAAUAAAUUGUGUUUUCACUGAAGAGUAGAUCAAAAGUUUACUCUAGUUGUAAAUAAGAAAUGGAACCGAUAAUGUAUAAUCCCUCCUGUCGCUGGCCCUGGCUGCCUCUCCUCAUCCUCCUCAUCCUCCUCCUCAUGCUGCUCACCCACUGCAGCGCCUGGCCCUGGUGUGUCCUCAGGGAUGGAGGCAACAGGACAGGAGGGGCAAUGGAAGGCCUCUGUCCUAAAACCUCAUCCAUGAGACAAACCAGGGCCAGGUGGCAGCAGUGGGCUUCCUGCUACCCCCUGCCCUGUCCCUGGAUCUUUGCAUUCCUAAGGCAGAGGAAAUCAGUCACAAAAGCAGCAAUUUUCUGCAAAGUAUUUAUUAAAAAAGUCUUGAAAAAGAAGUGCAUCAUGGACUCAAAAAGAGGUAUGUUUGAGGUGCUCUUUGGAAUGGGAUUCAUGUAGUGAUAAAGAAACGAAGAAAAAAACUCCAAGGCACUCUCCCAAAGCAGUUAAAUGCCUUUAUUCUUAAGCCAUGGUCAUAUAAACCUUAAAAACACAGUCCUUCAACACGUUUCGGCAUCAAGCCUUCAUCAGAAGGUUAAACAGAUUCAAGGAAUAAAGAAUAAG